AGUGAACGCUGGCGGUAGGCCUAACACAUGCAAGUCGAACGGCAGCACAGUAAGCGCUUGCUCUUACGGGUGGCGAGUGGCGGACAGGUGAGGAAUACAUCGGAAUCUACUUUUUCGUGGGGGAUAACGUAGGGAAACUUACGCUAAUACCGCAUACGACCUACGGGUGAAAGCAGGGGAUCUUCGGACCUUGCGCGAUUGAAUGAGCCGAUGUCGGAUUAGCUAGUUGGCGGGGUAAAGGCCCACCAAGGCGACGAUCCGUAGCUGGUCUGAGAGGAUGAUCAGCCACACUGGAACUGAGACACGGUCCAGACUCCUACGGGAGGCAGCAGUGGGGAAUAUUGGACAAUGGGCGCAAGCCUGAUCCAGCCAUACCGCGUGGGUGAAGAAGGCCUUCGGGUUGUAAAGCCCUUUUGUUGGGAAAGAAAAGCAGCAGGUUAAUACCCCGCUGUUCUGACGGUACCCAAAGAAUAAGCACCGGCUAACUUCGUG
rnacentral:rRNA from 1 species